rnacentral:rRNA from 1 species
UACGUAGGGGGCAAGCGUUGUCCGGAAUCAUUGGGCGUAAAGAGCGUGUAGGCGGCCCGGUAAGUCCGCUGUGAAAGUCCAGGGCUCAACCCUGGGAUGCCGGUGGAUACUGUCGGGCUCGAGUCCGGAAGAGGAGUGUGGAAUUCCUGGUGUAGCGGUGAAAUGCGCAGAUAUCAGGAGGAACACCAAUGGCGAAGGCAGCACUCUGGGAAGUGACUGACGCUGAGACGCGAAAGCGUGGGGAGCAAACAGG